ACAACACACAAACUAACAGAGGCUUGGCUGAUUUUUGUGGGAGGUGUUAGAUCCGCGGAAGACAUAAUGGGCAAAAGGAAGAGCAGCACUCGAUUAGCUCAGAUCCGAAACACAAAAGGUAAACUCACAACCCUCCAUAACUAAUCUCUUACUGCAUGUCUCAUAUAAACUUCACCGUGUAACAUCCUGUAUAACAGUAACACUGAAAAAUCUCUUCUACUUUUUCUUAUAUGCUCGACGCCAAAUCCUCAUCUAAUAUUUUAUUCAACAAGUGGUCGACUUGCGCAGCGAGUAGGUCCAGCUCUACGAGCUGCGAAAGUGCGAUUCCGCAAACCGGAUAGCAGAAACUCGGACCGCUUCCUGUGACGGCUUUUACUAUUUCCAGUUUAUUUCUUUAUAUUUUCCACCAUCUGCUCCCUUCUCCCAAUUUUUAAUUUUUUCUUAAAUUUUUAAUUUUUUUUAAUAAUAACUAGCAUAUAAGUGUGUGUGAGAAAAAUUUUUAUUUUUGUUUUUGAAAUAGAAUGAGAGAGGAAGAGAGUGAUAGAGAAUGUGGGAGUGGGAAAUUUUUAUUUUUUAAUUAGAGAUAUGUUAGAAUUAUAUGUAGGUGAGGUUUUUGAAAAAAACAGUAAAAUUUAGUUGUGUGAAAUUACAUUUCUACUCCAUAUUUCUUAUUCAUGUUAUGUUUUAAUUAGAAUGUUAAACUGAUAAUUUCAUACGAUUUUAGUUGUCAUCAAGUGCUUUAUUAAUUAAUAAAGAUAAUCGAUAUCUUGCUAAUUACUUCAGUUGGAAAUAUAAUUAUAAUAUAAGGCGUCAUCACAUAUGUGGCAUGAAUUGUCGAGAGAUAUUAAUCAGAAAAUGGUUGAAAUUAUAUUGUUUUAAUAAGAAGGAAAGUAGUUGCGAUAUUGAAAAAGUUUAAAGACUAAAAAUAGUAAAUAUGCAUACAUGGUGGACGAUGAGUUUUACAAUUGGCAGAAUAAAGAAUUAUGAAACGAUGGGUACGGGGUCCCUCCCUCCUCUUUAAAAUGUAGCCAUCAACAAAACUAACACAAUUUUACACCGUCUAAAAAAGAAUCUGAAUUCUUGCCGGAUUCUUUUUGUGAGAAUCUUUGAGAUUCGUGAAUUGUGUUUGUUUAUCGUACAUCGUACUAUCAGAUAUCAUUUUAAAUAUUUUUAUUUAAAAUUAAAUACAAACAGGACCUAACAAAAACUGACAUCAUGAUGUACGAUGAACGGACACGAUUCACGGAUUUUUAAGAUCAUUACCAAAAGGAUCCGAAGAGGAUCUUGAUGGUUCUAAAACUAAAAGUGCUAAAAAGAGAGAGAAUUAUAUUUCACCAAUUAUGAGAGAAUAAUUCAUGAAUUCAAUUUAGGUUUGAUGAUUUAUUUUUUUUUGGUUUUCAACUCACCUUUUUUCUUUUUUAAUAUGAUAAGUCAACCUAUUUUUUAGCUUGACUGUUUACAUUAUUUUUCCAAUUGCCUACCAUGCCCAUAACUUGGCCAACUUAUGUCCAUAUUAGCGAACCUACGCACAUAACAUACUCGAGAUGCAACAAAGCCUCAGUGCCCCGUUUUGAUGUUUUCAGCAACUAAAUCUAAUGAGGAAGAGUCACCAUGCAGGAUGCCAAUGAUGUGGACAACCUGGAGGGCGUCACUCUCAAGUUCAAUCUGGUGCCAGUGUCGCUCGAAGGCCAACUAGAUACUCUCCUGGUAACUAGAAACUUCACCACGUCAAGACCUGUCACGUGGGAUAUUUUGCAAACAAAACUGGUUUCGCGGCGAAAUACCACACCAGCACCCUGUUUUAGUAGAAGCACGAAAAGUUCUAUCCACAUUAAUUCUCAUCUACUACAAAGGAAAGCGAAACAAAACAAAAACAAAAUAAGCGAGCAUUAAAAGAGGGAAGAAUCACAAUAAUUAACGUGACAUUAUCAAGCUUGAAAAAAGGGUUAGGUAAAUGUCAGGACCGGGGAAGCUAUUUUCACAUCCUCAUCUAGCUCCGUCGAGCAAUUAUUUUUAAUUUUUUAAUUUUUAAUUUUUUAAGUUACCCUGACAUAAAAAAAUUCCACAUGUAUCAUGUGUAGCAAAAUUAUAAACGGAAGCUCGCAAUAAGGAAUAUAAUAUACUUUUUGUGCAUCUAUAAUAUGUAACCAUAUUUAUUUUAGUUAUUACAACCACCACAUCUUGCUGCUAGUCCUGUAAAAAGCAACAUGUCAAAAGCGAGAGAGGAGGGGGCCGUUUGAACCGGGGAAGGGGCUUCACUUCGCUUUUACGAUUCAAAAGUGGCGGAAGCUCGCACGCAUUGUCCUCAAACCUGAUUGGUGGAGCGGCUCAGCUGGCUUGGGUUGGAUUGGGUUGGGUCCAGGGCCUUUCGUUUAUUUUUAAUUGCAUUCGCAUCCUUUUUUUUUUCUUUUUUUUUUCUACUUUGAAUAUUUUUUAAGAGGGAGAAAAAAAUGGGAGAUGAUUAGAGGUGUACAUGGGAGUAAUAAUAUAAUGUACUAAUGUACUUCACCAUAAUAAGAUAUUCGUAGUCAUAUGGUUCUUUACAAUUUUCAUUUUUGUGUUAUUAUUUAAAAGAUUCGAUCUAUAAUAACGUAUAAAGUUGAAUGUCUCUGAUUUGAUGUGUAUAAAAUCACAAUGAACGUUGUUCACAAGCUUCCUCUUUAAAGCUCAAUUUGGCCAUUCAAACUGAACAUACAAUAAAUGUGAACAAGCACAUGCUUUAUAUGUAAUUUUAACAAAGUCGUUUUACACAAUGACAUGUGGAUUUCGAUUAUGAAUUACUUCUCCGUUGAUUGUCUAUGUGAGAAUGAAAACAUGAGUGAGGCGCACACAACAUACUUGAACUCCUAAUUAGGAAUUGGACUCUUGAAGGGCACCUACUUUUGAAAUUUAUGAGAUUGUCCCAUUAAACUAUGGGUCUUUUUUCUCCUAAGUCUAAGCCACGAAUAUUGAGGCUUGAGACUGAACUUGAAUCAAGGGCAUCCCAAUUGGAUCAAAGUAGUUGAGGAAUUGCGUAAAAUAUUUCUUUACGUUUUCGUUAAUGGAGAGGAGAAAUUCAAAUUGUAACUUAUUGCAACAUGAAAAGGUAAAUUUCCAUCAUGUCAAAAGAUAUCAAAAGGUAAAUUUACAUGAGUGCUCCUAUUAGGACCACUUCUCACACUUUUGACCAAAUAUUGUGGGCUUAGCAAUUAGCAUUGCAUGCGCUUAAUUGUAUGUAAAAUUUGUAAAUAUCUUUGCCAAAUCAAUCAAGGUAUUUAGCAUACAAAAUAAUCUAUAUUGUUGAGACAUACUCUAAUUGAGAUGGACUUUACUAUAGUAUGUGACACCAAGAAUUAUUCGUUCAAAAUUUUAUAUUUUAUAUUUAUUCAUUUGAAAUGAAAAGUUAGCUAACUACAUUAUAUACGGUAAUUUGAGGUAAUUGAGUAGUGUAGUUUUAUUUUUUUUAUUUUUUACAUUGCAUUGUGAUAUUUGAAAUUAUAUCAAUUUUUGGUGAACUGAAAUCAUAUCAAUAUACAUUCAAUAUGUUUGACCUUGUGAGUUGUGACAAGCAAUAUAGAUAACACCCCGCUCCCUUGACUCUUUAAUCAUUAUGUCUCUUUGAACGUGUAAUCAAUUGUUAUUUUGAUAAUAUGGUAGAUGUGGAAUCCGCCAUUGGGAUGAUGUAUGAGUCAUAUUUGCAUCACUGAGACCAAAUUGUGCGAUUGAUUCUCAUUGUAUUGUAAAGUCUCUAUCAAGGGAAGACAAAACUCUAAAAAUAAGUGUGUUUUCAGGUCAACAUAGAAAAAUAAACCUCAUAUCUAUCACCACAUCAAUUUAAUAAACGACCAAACAUACAAACACAAAGAAAACAUAAAUUAAUACAAUUUAAAAACUUUAUAAUGCGAAAAAAUUGAAACUUCACGAUCCAUUUCAAGUAUUCUAGGGAAGAAGGACAAGAAUUAACAAUUAAGAACGCUACCUUGUCCAUUUUUUACUUUUUGAGCACAUUGAUGUUUUUACACUAAAAGGUGAGAGAGUUCGACAAAGCCACACAAUGUGCAGUUUAAUUUAAUAUCAAAUUCGCCAUCCACGAGAUUUGAACUAAGACCUCUCGCUUCCCUUCCAAGAAUACCACCAGAUCGUAGGACUGUUAGCGUGUGUUUGUUUGAGCUCACUAGCUUUCGCUGGCUUGGACUGGACUAUGUAGUAGUCUAGUCUGGUGUUUGUUAACAGUCCGGGACUAAGUUUAAUGAGAUUAGAAGGGACUCGCGGGGACUAACUCCCUAGCUAGCAGACCCGUCGAGAACCAUGGGAUUAGAAAGGACUAACUCCCUCGCGUCUUCCUCUACUCCUAUGUUUUCACAAACGCUGAGAGCCACCAUCAUUCCCCCUUCCCCUCCUCCUUUCUCCUCGUUUUCUCCUCUUUCUGCUCCACAGAGAUCUGA
rnacentral:lncRNA from 1 species